GAAUAGGAAACAAAGGAGUCCUUUUUUGAUAUGAAUGUGCGCAGCGUGCCAAUAUCAUGGUCAGAAAUGGUCGUUAAAAGACACCCAAAUGUCACAACCUAAUAUCUUUUCCUCUGCUUUUGGGUUUAAAAAUAUUCAUUUUGUAGAAUUAAAAAAAAAUCUAUAACAUAUAUGUAUACAUUUAAAAUUCAUUAAAAUAUCCUUCAGUUAAUAAAUUUUUUAAAAGAUAUCAUUUGAAAAAC
rnacentral:lncRNA from 1 species